rnacentral:rRNA from 1 species
AACGAACGCUGGCGGCAGGCCUAACACAUGCAAGUCGAGCGAGGACUUCGGUCCUAGCGGCGGACGGGUGAGUAACGCGUGGGAACGUGCCCUUUGCUUCGGAAUAGCCCUGGGAAACUGGGAGUAAUACCGGAUGAGCCCUUUGGGGGAAAGAUUUAUCGGCGAAGGAUCGGCCCGCGUUGGAUUAGGUAGUUGGUGGGGUAAUGGCCUACCAAGCCGACGAUCCAUAGCUGGUUUGAGAGGAUGAUCAGCCACACUGGGACUGAGACACGGCCCAGACUCCUACGGGAGGCAGCAGUGGGGGAUCUUAGACAAUGGGGGAAGCCCUGAUCUAGCCAUGCCGCGUGAGCGAUGAAGGCCUUAGGGUUGUAAAGCUCUUUCAGCUGGGAAGAUAAUGACGGUACCAGCAGAAGAAGCCCCGGCUAACUCCGUG